rnacentral:rRNA from 1 species
AUUGAACGCUGGCGGCAUGCUUUACACAUGCAAGUCGAACGGUAACAGGCCUUCGGGUGCUGACGAGUGGCGAACGGGGGAGUAAUGCAUCGGAACGUACCCAGAGGUGGGGGAUAACGCAGCGAAAGCUGUGCUAAUACCGCAUGUGAUCUGAGGAUGAAAGCGGGGGACCGAGCAGCAAUGUUUGGCCUCGCGCCUUUGGAGCGGCCGAUGUCGGAUUAGAUAGUUGGUGGGGUAAAGGCCUACCAAGGCGACGAUCCGUAGCUGGUCUGAGAGGACGACCAGCCACACUGGGACUGAGCCACGGCCCAGACUCCUACGGGAGGCAGCGGUGGGGAAUUUUGGACAAUGGGCGCAAGCCUGAUCCAGCAAUGCCGCGUGCGGGAAGAAGGCCUUCGGGUUGUAAACCGCUUUUGGCAGGAACGAAACGGUGUCCGCUAAUACCGGGCGCUAAUGACGGUACCUGAAGAAUAAGCACCGGCUAACUACGUG